GACGAACGCUGGCGGCGUGCUUAACACAUGCAAGUCGAACGGAAAGGCCCUGCUUUUGUGGGGUGCUCGAGUGGCGAACGGGUGAGUAACACGUGAGUAACCUGCCCUUGACUUUGGGAUAACUUCAGGAAACUGGGGCUAAUACCGGAUAGGAGCUCCUGCUGCAUGGUGGGGGUUGGAAAGUUUCGGCGGUUGGGGAUGGAGUCGCGGCUUAUCAGCUUGUUGGUGGGGUAGUGGCUUACCAAGGCUUUGACGGGUAGCCGGCCUGAGAGGGUGAACGGCCACAUCGGGUAUGAGAGGCGGCAGAGGCGCAUACGGGAGGAAGCAGUGGAGAAUAUUGCAGAAUGAGCGGGUGCGUGAUGCAGGCCCGCGGGGUGUGAAAUGACGGUGUUCGGGUUGAAAAGCGCUUGCGUCUGAGACGGAGCGUGUGACGCUGCAAUGAGAAAAAACGCAGCCUCUAUCUACG
rnacentral:rRNA from 1 species